rfam:Schistosoma haematobium scaffold16_9, whole genome shotgun sequence.
AUUCAGUUGACGAGUUUCAAACAGGAUGAAGCGUGCGUCCUGGAU